rnacentral:rRNA from 1 species
AAUGGACGCUGGCGGUAUGCCUAACACAUGCAAGUCGAACGAAGGCUUCGGCCUUAGUGGCGCACGGGUGCGUAACGCGUGGGAAUCUGCCCUCAGGUUCGGAAUAACAGCGAGAAAUAGCUGCUAAUACCGGAUGAUAUCGCGAGAUCAAAGAUUUAUCGCCUGAGGAUGAGCCCGCGUAGGAUUAGCUAGUUGGUGUGGUAAAGGCGCACCAAGGCGACGAUCCUUAGCUGGUCUGAGAGGAUGAUCAGCCACACUGGGACUGAGACACGGCCCAGACUCCUACGGGAGGCAGCAGUGGGGAAUAUUGGACAAUGGGCGAAAGCCUGAUCCAGCAAUGCCGCGUGAGUGAUGAAGGCCUUAGGGUUGUAAAGCUCUUUUACCCGGGAUGAUAAUGACAGUACCGGGAGAAUAAGCUCCGGCUAACUCCGUGCCAGCCGCCGCAGUAA